UCAAAUGGCCUCAUUACAUCUGGAGUAUUGGUGUUAGCACCAUGUCGCCUCGAGCUGUGCACAGAAGGAGGUGUCUCCUAUUGCCUUGGUGCCCAUUGUGUAUUAUUUCAGCUGCUAAGGACUCCACUCAAAGCGUACUGCAGGUUACUAUUGGAUUAAGGAAUUAUAUUUAAUAUUACAUAACCCACAUCUGUGUGGGCGCUCCAUCUUUACUUGGAUUUAAAGUCUUUUAAAGUCAUUUUACGGUGUUAUAUACAAAAGGUAGAGUAAAUGCAUAAAUGCUGACCAUGCAUUUUCCCAGGACUUGCUGAGACAGCCUACAGUUUGGUGUUAUAUCCCAGGGGCCUUGUACCUCCUGUGACACACAUCUGUGCUUAGCAGGAAUGCCCUCUGCGGCCAGGACCUGACCCACUUCGCUCUGGGAGUGAGGCUGGGAAAAGCUCACUCAGCCUGGCUGGAGGUGAAGUGCAAGCAGCCUGAACUACCACUAUGGCUUCACCAGCACCACUCAUCAACCAGGACGUGCCUGAUGAAAUCUAUUUUCGACAUUCUCCAAGUUCAACAGAUCCCCUGACUGUUUAUUUGCAUACUACCAGUGUCGCCAUGGCAACUAUGGUGUGAAGAUUGCGUACCAGAGGGUGAGACAGAGAGAGGGAAAUAAAAAGUCAUCCGUGUUUGAGUCAUACUGGCCGUCCUAGAAACCUCUUCACUAUAAAAGGCUGAGUCAGGACCUAAAGUAAGACCUUUAAAUGGCCAGACCAGGACUUGGCAAGUCUACUUGUACUCAACAGUAAGGAACAUCCAGUUACAGACUGUAUUAAUUCCUGUUGGGAAGCACAGCUCCACAGCUCCUUAACAUGGGCAUGAACACACUAUUCCCUAUGGAGUCUGGAAGAACUGAAAGUACUCAUAUCCUGCCAGGGCUAAAGAAAUGAUCCAAGGCCGUAAAGUCAACCAUCCUUAUAACACCACUGAAAUAGGCACAUUUGCUUAUCAAACUGCUAGCUAUUUGUUAUUUGUAUAUCUUUCUCCCCCAUGUGCUCACCUAUUAUUACUGAAGACAAUGGCUGUGCAUUCUUGCUGAAAGAGAACGGUGGGCUAUUGUCAAGAACGGCCAUAAACAGAAGGAGCUAUUUCAAUGGAAAAUGUUGGAUUUUGUUUAGUCCUGUGCACCUGUGUAAAACAACAACAUAUUUUUUAAGGACACAAAGCCCCCAACACACAUACACACACACGUUUGUUUUUGUGAAUUGUGGGGACAUUCCAUAGGCGUAAUGGUUUUUAUAUUGUACAAACCGUAUUUUCUAUCCCCCUACACUACCCCUAACCCUAAACCUAACCAUCACAGGAAACACACAACUACACACACACCUAAAAAUGGCUUAUCUUAAGCCAGGUUCACACUUUUAUCAUAUAGUUCACACUAUAUGAUAAAACAGGUUCACACUGUACAUCAUGUCAUUGUGUAGUAGGCCUACGUUGUAAAAUUAAUAUUUUUUAAUAUUUUUUAGACGCAAGUCAAAUGCGUAUGGCUGUCACACCGGAAGCUUGUUGUUUUACUUUAUAAAGUUUUAAAUAUUGAUAUUUGUCUUACACAAACGCAUCGGUUCAAUUCACUUCAGAAGGCCUUCAUAUCCUGGAAAAGCCAGGAUAUUUUUAAUAUAAAUCUGAUUGUAUUUGGUGGAAAGAAGAAAGUCAUAUUCACCUAGGAUGGCUUGAGGGUGAGUAAAUUAUCGGGUAAUUUUCUUUUUUAGAUGGUGAACUAUCCCUUUAACGCGUCUUGACUGCCAUACAGUCUGACGUGAAUGACAACAGAUCCCACAGUUUGGCAUGGCUACAGCGGGAUUAUGUUCGUACAGUCUGACAAGCAACAGUCGUAAAGGACUACUAUAAAUUGUACAGUGUGCACCUGGCUUUGGUGAAUGAAAUAAAUCUAAUCAGUUUCCAACCUUGUAAAACUUUUUUCAGUGUCUGCUGCAAAUGUGCCACACAAGUCCUGAAAAGGUGGCUGGAUGCAGUAUAUCAUAAACCCCACCCUCUCCAUGUAAUCUAAUGGGACACAAGGCAAACUAAACAAUCAAAUUACACUUCAAAUAUUUUUAUUUUUAUUUUUUUUUAAAAAUAUGGUUUCUGUCAUUUUAGUUUUUAUCACGCUGAUGUAAGAUGAAAAGUUGUCUUGUUGUUUUGGUUUUAGUUAGUUAUUUGAUUCUAUUAAAAAAAUGGGGGUGUGACAUCAUGAUUGACAGCUGAGAUUGACAGCUUCUCUUUGAGUUUGGAGCUGUAACUUUAAAUUCUACAUUUCCAUAACUGUUUAUUUCACACAGACAUAAUGAGUUGUUCUGCAGUAAACUGUAGGUGCAUCAUCCAUCUUUUUUACAGUCAAUGGUCUGUUGUCACAUUAGGCCAGCACACACAAGCAGGGCAUAAAUAAAGUCAGAUCAACCGGAAAAAAAAAUGUGUUUUUGUGCCUGUCACUAUCUGUAAUUUUCAUUAAUGGGUGAGUAAUUCACACCAUUAUUUUAUGACGCUUCUUAAAGCCUAUUUUGCAAAAGAUAAUGUUGAAAAAUAUGUUUAUAGUGCAUUUUUUUUUCCUGCUUAGUGCAGCACUCUCUGUGUAGCAAAAUGCGCUCAGCGGUGAAACUCCUUCACUCAACAGCAUUUGACUGCUCAUGCGUGCAGUGUGAACUCUGUAACCUGUUAAAAUGGGCACCAAAAUAAAUACUGCUCGUA